UUAGACAAUUGGUGGCGCUAGAGAGUUUGAGUUAGAGACUUCAAAUUUGCUAUGGUUAAUGUUCAGACAGUCCUCUAUUAGUGUGCCAAAUUAUACAACUUUCCCGCAAUCGGUUCUAUGGGCUACCAUAGACUUGGGGUGGAAGAAGAGGAAGAAUAAUAAUAAUAAAUAUAGCUGCAAGCAGCAAUUACGGGGCCAAGCACUCCAACGGCAAAUGUAGGAGCUAAGCAUCGCAUGAAGCAUCACACCAAAUACAUUAAUGAGCAAUAACUGCAAUUUUGGAAUUAUUGUAUUUGAAAUGGCAAAAAAAAAACAAAAAAAACAAUACCACCUCUAGUAGCAUGAUUACUUGGCUUAUCAAGCUUGACCAAUAGGUGGCACUGUUAUAAAAUCAAUUUGGUGUACUCUGUGUGACUUUUCAAUGACACACACAAAGUUUGGUGUCAAUAUGCCAAAGCAUUCCAGGGAUACAGCCUCAAGUGUCAUUUUCUCAUUGUGCCUCAAAUUCGUCGAUGUGGUAUGCGAAAACGGUUUUGUCUAUCGACUCAAAAUCCAUAACUUUGAAUCAGUAUAGUCUGAAGAUCAUUUGAUUCGAAUUUGGUGAAAAUCGGACAUACGGUUGAUGAGGAGUUCGAAAAAAUAUGUUUUCAACAUAAAUCAAAAUGGCGGACCGGAAGUUCAGCUUACUGUGGUAUAUUUGGUAUCUAUGUUAUCGGCAUAAGCCAGGGAAUAUUUUGAGCCCAGUUUCCUUCAAAUAGGCUAAUGCAAUAAAAAGUUAUUAGCAUUUUAAAAAGUGUAAUUACUCAUGGUUAAUGAAUGGUUUAUUACUCUUGACCAAUAGGUGGCGCUGUUACCAAAUUUAUGUGGCAUGGUCAGUGUGAGGUGGCGAUGACACAUACAAAGUUUGGUGCAAAUAUGUCAAAGUGUUGCAGAGAUACAGCCUCAAAUGCAUUUUGGCACCCUUCCAGCAAAUUUGUUGAUGCGCUAAAUGAGAACCGUUACGUAUAUCGACACAAAAUCCAUAACUUUUUGCCAGCAUGGUCUGAAGAUGAUUCACGUCAAAUUAGGUGAAAAUUGGGCUAACGGUCUAGGAGGAGUUCGAAAAAGUAGGUUUUCAACAUUAAGCAAAAUGGCGGACAGGAAGUAAGGCCAAUUUUCACAUUAUUGGUAUCAAUACUCUCGGCAUGACCCACAGAAUAUAGCGAGACCAUUUUAAUUUUAAUAGACUAAUUUAUUCAAAAGUUAUUAGCGUUUAUGUGAUAUUUCAUUAUAACUAUUGGCCACAAGGUGGCGCUGCCACCAAACUUUUUGAGUACCUUCAGGGCAUGGAGCCGAAUAUUUUUGUAAUUAUUUGUGAAACGAUACGAUGCUGCGUUCAAAAAAUACAGCAUUUUGAAACAUAAUUCAAAAUGGCCGACGCCUAAAAUGGCCGACACAGGAAAAUUGGAUAUCAUUCGACUCGACAUGACUCACUGAAUCUAAAGAGACCAGUUGUGUGAUUUUUGGCCAAACCAUUCAGUAGUUAUAAGCCAAAAUAUGCAUUUUUCAUAUCUCCUGACCACUAGGUGGCGCUGUGUCGAAACACAGCAGGUAGUCUCAGUUCAUGCUUGUUAUAACACACGCCAAGUUUGGUCUCAAUAUGACAAACCGUUGCCGGGAUAUAGCCUCACGUGCAUGUUUGCGUGCUUUUCGUCAAAUUUGUUUACGUGUCAUUCGACAACAGUUGGACGAAUCAACUUGAAUUCCAUAACUUUUUGCCAGCAUGGUCUGAAGAUGAUCUGAGCCAAUUUUCGUGGCAAUCGGACUAACCGUCUAGGACGAGUUCGAAAAAGUAGGUUUUUCGAAAAAUUGAAAAUAGCGAAAAAACUAAACCUUGCGAUUUUUGAAUUUCGGGAUUCAUUCGACUUGGCUUGAGCCAAGGAUUCAGAGGAAAAAAGAAUUUCCAUUUUCUGGCUUACGGUUCAAAAGUUAUUAGCAUAUAAACAUUGAAAGUUUGGACAAGUGGUGGCGCUAGAGAGUUGGAGUUAGAGACUUCAAAUUUGCUAUAGUUAAUGGUGGGACUGUCCUCUAUCAGUGUGCCAAAUUAUACAACUUUCCCGCAAUCGGUUCUAUGGGCUACCAUAGACUUGCGGCGGAAGAAGAAGAAGAAGAAGAAGAAGAAGCAGAAUAAUAAUAACGCCAACGAUUACAAUAGGUGCCUACGCACCUUCGGUGCUUGGCCCCUAAUAAUAACGCCAACAAACACAAUAGGUGCCUUCGCACCUUCGGUGCUUGGCCCCUAAUAAUAACGCCAACAAACACAAUAGGUGCCU